CCUACGGGAGGCAGCAGUGAGGAAUAUUGGUCAAUGGACGCAAGUCUGAACCAGCCAUGCCGCGUGCAGGAAGACGGCUCUAUGAGUUGUAAACUGCUUUUGUACGAGGGUAAACGCAGAUACGUGUAUCUGUUUGAAUGUAUCGUACGAAUAAGGAUCGGCUAACCCCGUGCCAGCAGCCGCGGUAAUAUGGAGGAUUCAAGCGUUAUCCGGAUUUAUUGGGUUUAAAGGGUGCGUAGGCGGUCGGAUAAGUUAGAGGUGAAAUCCCGAGGCUCAACUGCGGAAUUGCCUCUGAUACUGGUCGGCUAGAGAGUAGAUGCGGAAGGCGGAAUGUAUGGUGUAGCGGUGAAAUGCUUAGAGAUCAUGCAGAACACCGAUUGCGAAGGCAGCUUACCAGGCUACUUCUGACGUUGAGGCACGAAAGCGUGGGGAGCAAACAGGAUUAGAUACCCGUGUAGUC
rnacentral:rRNA from 1 species